rnacentral:rRNA from 1 species
CGACGACCGGCGCACGGGUGAGUAACGCGUAUCCAGCCUGCCCAUAACUAAGGGAUAAUCCGUAGAAAUGCGGUCUAAUACCUUAUGUGUUCCGACGAGGACAUCUGAAUUGGAAUAAAGAUUUAUCGGUUAUGGAUGGGGAUGCGUCUGAUUAGAUUGUUGGCGGGGCAACGGCCCACCAAGUCUGCGAUCAGUAGGGGUUCUGAGAGGAAGGUCCCCCACAUUGGAACUGAGACACGGUCCAAACUCCUACGGGAGGCAGCAGUGAGGAAUAUUGGUCAAUGGGCGGGAGCCUGAACCAGCCAAGUAGCGUGCAGGAUGACGGCCCUAUGGGUUGUAAACUGCUUUUGUAUGGGGAUAAAUUGCUCCACGAGUGGAGUAUUGCAGGUACCAUACGAAUAAGGACCGGCUAAUUCCGUGCCAGCAGCCGCGGUAAUACGGAAGGUCCGGGCGUUAUCCGGAUUUAUUGGGUUUAAAGGGAGCGUAGGCCGUGGAUUAAGUGUGUUGUGAAAUGUAGGCGCUCAACGUCUGACUUGCAGCGCAUACUGGUCCACUUGAGUGCGCGCAACGCGGGCGGAAUUUGUCGUGUAGCGGUGAAAUGCUUAGAUAUGACGAAGAACCCCGAUUGCGAAGGCAGCUCGCGGGAGCGCAACUGACGCUGAAGCUCGAAAGUGCGGGUAUCGAACAGGAUUAGAUACCCUGGUAGUCCGCACGGUAAACGAUGGAUGCCCGCUUUUCGGUCAUUAGACCGUGAGGCCAAGUGAAAACAUUAAGCAUCCCACCUGGGGAGUACGCCGGCA